rnacentral:rRNA from 2 species
AUCUGGAGAGGAUGCUUCUGGCGCGGCGCCUUCCGAGUUCCCUGGAACGGGACGCCGGAGAGGGUGAGAGCCCCGUACGGUCGGACGCCCAGCCUUUGUGAAGCUCCUUCGACGAGUCGAGUAGUUUGGGAAUGCUGCUCAAAAUGGGAGGUAAAUUUCUUCUAAAGCUAAAUAUUGGCCAGAGACCGAUAGCGCACAAGUAGAGUGAUCGAAAGAUGAAAAGCACUUUGAAAAGAGGGUUAAACAGUACGUGAAAUUGUUGAAAGGGAAGCGCCCGUGGCCAGACUUGCGCCUCGCGGACCACCCGGCGCCCUCAGCGCCGGUGCACUCCGCGGGGCGCAGGCCAGCAUCGGUUCUCCCAGGGGGAUAAAGGCGGCGGGAACGUGGCUCCCUCGGGAGUGUUAUAGCCCGCCGCGCCAUGCCCCUGGGGGGACCGAGGACCGCGCUUCGGCAAGGAUGCUGGCGUAAUGGCCACCGGCGACCCGUCUUGAAACACGGACCAAGGAGUCAAGCAUUGGGGCGAGUGUCUGGGUGCCAAACCCGCACGCGAAAUGAAAGUGAACGCAGGUGAGAGCUUCGGCGCAUCAUCGACCGAUCCUGAUGUUCUCGGAUGGAUUUGAGUAAGAGCCUUACCGCUUGGACCCGAAAGAUGGUGAACUAUGCCUGUAUAGGGUGAAGCCAGAGGAAACUCUGGUGGAGG